AGCAUGGAAGCCACUUGCUGGAGAGUGAGGCUAAUUCUACGCCCUUGGAAUCCUAUCUCUUCUGCACCUGCCCCCUGAUAUUUCUUCCACCUUCGCUUGAUAUUUCCACCUUCUCUUCUCAAUCUUUCAUCCGACGGCUCUCCUCUUUUUCUCUCAUAAAAUCUUAUUCUCAGUGGCCCCCUCUCUUCUUCUUCUUCUCCAUAAAUACUCACCUCUCUUCUUCUUCUUCUCCAUAAAUACUCACCUCUUUUCUGCGCUUCUUCCCAUCUCUGCUUCCUCAGCCAAGCCAAGACCCUCCCUCUUUCAGUGUUGUUUCUCUGCCGAUCAUGGCCACCAUGGCUACAGCUCUCACAUCUCUCUCUGCCAAACCCCAGAAGCUCUCUCUCUUUGAUUCCUCCGCCUUCUGUGGCACUCCCUUGGCUGCACC
rnacentral:lncRNA from 1 species